GCGUGCUUCUACUGGUACAGCCAUGUACCUCAUCAGCUCUCUGAUGGAUCUGAUUCGUGGAGCAGGGGAUGGCGCCCAUAUUGCAGGAGUGGUGUUUGGCCUGCUGGCUGGGAUCCUGUUUGCCUAUGACGUCUACACCAUCAUCCUUGUCAUCAAGAGCAACAGAUAGGAUACAGCAACGCCCACUGAUGACAACGUUUAAGCAGUGGAAGAUAACCCCCAACUUAGCCAAUUAAAUAAAAUGCCAUUUGGGCAGGACGAGUUGACAAUGAAGAGUGAAAGAACUGCAGCAGAUUGGAAGGAAGUUUGAUGCUCAAAUGAAGAGAUUAAUAGCAGAAAUUAACCAAUGUUAGGGUCAGAAGAGAAACAUCUACUGUACUAUCUAUGGCUGACACAGAGAGGAUAAUGUUAUACUGCACUGAGAUCAUUAUGUUCAAAAGAACCAUGUAAAUUCCAGGAGGGAUUCCCUUGACCACCGCUGUUCCAGUCUCGAUGUACAAUUCUACCGUCCCAUUGUUCAAUAUUUAGUCUGGUGAAAAAGGGAAAGAUGUCAAUAUUAUGCAGCAUAAGGAGGUGGAAAGCUCUGGAAAGUUCACACUAGGACAUCGUUUAUUUUCUGAUCUAAUGAACUAUUGUGUAAAAAAGAUGUCUGUUGAGUUACAUCCACUGCUAAAGUAUUGGUUUGUAUUAGAAAUUAGAUUGUAGCAUUACAUUUAUAGAGGUGUUCAGAUGAAUAUAACAUAACGUAACAUCAAUAAUUUUGGUACAAAUGGCAUUCUCUCUCUCUUUGUCGUCAUAAUAUCACCUCAGCGUCAUAGCCCUCUCCAUAACCGACUGUAAUAUAUUAAAAAUGUGCUGGUUGAAUUAAGCCAAAUUUUGCUUGCGCUUAGGCCUUGAUUUAAUCAGAUCAAGUGUUAACCGGCAUAGCGGAUGUUUUGACAUAUGUUGGAGGUGUCACUGCAGUAUGAGCUGACAAAUAGGUGAGAGGCUGCUCUUGUGUGUCACAAAACACUUCCUUCCUUAUUAAUCCUACUGAGUUAGAAGUUCAAAACGGCGAUAGAAAGUGUAGGUUAAUGCAUGUUUUCAUGUUCAUUUGGAUGGUGGGGAUUUAUAGCCUAUCAGUCAAAUCGAGAUAUAGACAAUGGAAACAUCAAGCAGUGUUUGAACUUGUAAAGUGGCUGCAUGGGAUUUGUCAGUUUCGUUGCAUCCAAUAGCAUGGUCCGAGAUAAACUAACACAAGGAGCUGCUUGUGGAUUUGACAGCUCUAACGCAGUUCCAUCUCCGACACACCAAAACACCGCUAUGCGGGUGUCUGCUAGUAUGUAUCUGCUAUAGAAUCUAGCCCUUAGUCAAGGCAGAUUAAUUGGGGAGGACGGGCUCUUAGUACUGGCUGGCACAGAAUAAAUGGAUUGGUAUUAAACUCAAACACAUGGUUUCCAUGUGUUCCUUACCAUUCCAUUCACUCUGUUACAGCGAUUAUUAUGAGCUGUCCUCCCCUCAGCAGCCUCCUAUUUUAACGAGAUUUAAUGUUGUACAAGAAAUGUUACCUCAGUUAGUGCCCCCUUGUUAAAGUAUUUAGACAGUUUGUAUGCAGUUAUAGUAGUAAACGUUAAUAUUUUGAUUAGACUCUUAGAAAAACAACUGAUUUAGAAUGAGCAAUUCAUUAAAUUAAUUAGCAAAGAAGGCUAUUUGAUCACUUGUGUGGUUGCAUUUCAGGAUGCCUAUGUUAUAAUUGUAAUAUCCUUUGUAAAUUUUACCUCCAAAAUAUAAAGUCCAUU